rnacentral:rRNA from 1 species
CACGUAGGGCGCAAGCGUUGUCCGGAAUUAUUGGGCGUAAAGAGCUCGUAGGCGGUCUGUUGCGUCCGCUGUGAAAACUCGGGGCUUAACCCCGAGCCUGCAGUGGAUACGGGCAGACUAGAGGUAGGUAGGGGAGAAUGGAAUUCCCGGUGUAGCGGUGAAAUGCGCAGAUAUCGGGAGGAACACCGGUGGCGAAGGCGGUUCUCUGGGCCUUACCUGACGCUGAGGAGCGAAAGCCAGGGGAGCAAACGGG